rnacentral:rRNA from 1 species
UACGGAGGGUGCAAGCGUUAUCCGGUUUCACUGGGUUUAAAGGGUGCGUAGGUGGGCAGUUAAGUCAGUGGUGAAAUCUCCGGGCUUAACCCGGAAACUGCCAUUGAUACUAUCUGUCUUGAAUACCGUGGAGGUGAGCGGAAUAUGUCAUGUAGCGGUGAAAUGCUUAGAUAUGACAUAGAACACCCAUUGCGAAGGCAGCUUGCUACACAAUGAUUGACGCUGAGGCACGAAAGCGUGGGGAUCAAACAGG